CCGGAGUCCUGGGCCGCGCUGGAAAGGAAGGACUGCAGCGUCCCUUGGGGCUUGUGGGGCGCCCAGGUAACCUCACCUGGCCGCCAGUGUCCCGCAGGAGGAGCAGUCUGCCCGGAUUCCAAGGUAAACUUUUUAACAUUGCAACUUCAAAUACUUGGUAAGUGAAACCACCUAGAAACAUUAUGAAUGUUGUAAGAAUGACCUCUAAUUUACUGGACACUGCCCAGAAGUUCUUGAGGGAAGAGAUGAUGUGCUUUCUAUCUCACCUCACAAUGUUUUCCAAAGCAUCUUCAGCAUCAUGGAAAUCAAGCAUUUGUUGAUGGAAUAACAGAGCGACUCAGACCAUCGAGUUCUCUUGACCUGAGAGAACUCCAUAUUCAGAGUGAAAGUGAUCUCAAUUCUCCCCUAUGGUGAUAUGUGACAUUUAAGACAGAGGAGAAGGGGUCUCCUUUGGCUGUGAGAAAGUCUCUGCACACUGGAGCAGUCAGGUCUCUUCAGUAAAAAGCCUUGCUACUACCAGUCAA